AUCAUUUCCAUAGAGAGGAGGCUUUGCAUCGUCAGCUGAUCCUCCAGUGAACUGAGAAGGUUUAUAGUCCUGUGAGUUCAACACUGCAGGACUCAGAUCUGUCAGUCAACACAGCAGAAACCACAACCACCAUGACUCUCAUCACCAUCCUCAUCUGGACGCUGGCCUGCUGCUGUUUUACAGGAUGCAGCGGUCAGGUGACUGUGACUCAGCCUCCAGUAAAGACAUUUACUCCAGGAUCCACUGUCACUAUCACCUGUAAAACAAACCAAGCUGUUUACACAUACAGUGAUGGAGAUCAGGCUAUGUUCUGGUAUCAACAGAAAUCUGGACAGCCUCCAAAACUCCUGAUAAAAUAUGUGAGCACACGUGAAUCAGGAACACCAGCUCGGUUUAGUGGCAGUGGAAGCAGCUCUGACUUCACUUUGACCAUCAGUGAAGUUCAGACUGAAGAUGCAGCAGUUUAUUACUGUCAGAGUGUCCAUAGUGGUGUAGGGUGGACUUUUGGUGGAGGAACCAAACUCAUCGUUGACUCUGGCCCCAUGGUCAGGCCCUCAGUCUCUCUGCUUCCCCCCUCCUCUGAGCAGCUCUCUGGGGGCUCAGCCACGCUGGCCUGCCUGCUGACCGGCUACUCUCCUCAGGGAGCCGCGGUGAGCUGGGAGGUGGACGGUACGGAGGUGACAGAGGGGGUCCAGACCAGCUCAGAGGAGGAGAAGAGUGGACGCUACAGCAGCAGCAGCACCCUGAGCCUGAGCCAGGAGCGCUGGAUGAAAGGAGAGCUGUACUCCUGCAAGGUCCUCCAUCAUGACCACAGCCAGACCCAGUCCCUCCACAGGAGCCAGUGUGAGGGCUAGAGGGGCUCACUGAAGGCCAGGACAGGAGCUCUGUGUGGGGGGAGCAGGAGGAACAAACCUGCUGCUCUGAUCAAUAUGAGUUUUAAUGUUUGUAGAGGAAAGUAAAGCUUUGUGUGACAGAGAACAACACUGCUGUAAAGUGUUGGACAACAACAACUUAGAGAGUAAUGUGUGUAGCUCAGCAGCUAGAUGUGAGUGUGCUUAAUAACUGUCAUGUUGAUGAUUGAUGUUUUUGCUAAUAAAGCUUGAACUGAUAAAUAA